CUAAGGAAACAAUUAUCAUCUUCAGUUUUGAGAGACUUAAGAAAGUUUUUCAUUUUAACUUGCUUGCAAAUUGUAUUUGCAACAUUUUAAUCUUUUUAAGAUUAAGGGCCUAUAGCUCAGUUGGUUAGAGCACACGCCUGAUAAGCGUGAGGUCGGUGGUUCAAGUCCAUUUAGGCCCACCAUAACCACAAAUAAGGCAAAAUCUUAAAAAAGCUCUUUGAAAAGUAGAUAAACGAAGGUUAAAAAAU
rnacentral:misc_RNA from 1 species